rnacentral:lncRNA from 1 species
CCAUGGCAAACCCCAGGCUGCAGUUGUACGUGCACGGCUUCCAUAAAACACUCAGAGACUGAUGAGGAAGCCAACAUUAAUACCAGAGUAUCAGCUGCUGCACACGGUUUGAACACGAAGCACCAACAGCAACAGAGGAGCCUUCACAGCCAGUAGUGCUACGUAACUUCACCACCAGGAGAGUAACGAGACGCUGAACUUU